rnacentral:lncRNA from 1 species
GCCUCCCAGACUCUGGGCACACUCCAGGUGGAAGGGGGCUCGGAGUCGGCAUUCCAGGUAGAGGGAGCAGCAUGGGCACAAGCCCAGAGGCACAAAACAUACUACAUCGUGAUUAAACGUGAUUUAAUCUAUUCAGAAGGCAUUUGGGGGGAUUUUCCAGGUUUGUGUGACAGUGUUGUGUGCAUAACUGAGUUUCUGUUCGGCACUACGCUAGGUGUCCACGUCGAAGGAAGGGUUGGAGCACAGAUGACUGCAUUACUAUUUUCCUGGGGUGCAUUUCACUUCCCCUUCUGCCCUGUUCGGAAACCUUUAGGGACUCGCCCAUGUUUACCUAGAGUGUGCUGUUGUAUGGAGAGACAAGGAUAGAGAGUUUGUUGUUUAAAAAUCUCUUUUAAAAAGAUACUGCUUAAAAUAAAUGGAAGCACCAUUGGUUCUCAUUUUUUGAGGUAAUUAUGUCAUUGCAGACACUGAAUUAGUGAAUACUGAGCCAUUGCUCCUGGAGAAAUAUGAGGUUAGGUUCUUGUGAGCCUCUGGUCACAAUAUAUUCAUCAGUCAAUCAAUACAUAACCUUGUUUUAGAUGUCUAGUCUAUUUAAAGACACCUUAUUUAAUAUAUAUUAUUGACUGCUUAACACUGAGUUCAUGGCCAACAGCACUGUAACUCAUGCCUGCAUGAUGCUUAUCUAACGCGUGUAUUUUCUCCUUUGGGCACAUCACAGCCUUCUUGUGCUUGGGAACACUGGAUGGCAUUCAGCGUUAUAACUGGGGCCAUUUUAAACAGCAAAAUCACCAAUAAAAUGCAAAAAAAAAUGUAGCAUUAAGCCUAUAGCUGACCCAUGAACAAGGUCAGGGGUUGGGACCCCACCCCUCCCCCUAUGCAUCUGAAAACUCACAUGUAACUUUUGACUCCCCCAAGACUUAACUACUUAGAGCCUACUGUUGCCGAUAACAGAAGCAGUCAUUUAGCAUAUGUAUGUUACGUGUAUUAUAUACUGUAUUUUUACAUUAAGGUCAGCUAGAGAAAAGAAAAUGUGAAGAAAAUCAUAAGGAAGAGAAAAUACAUUUAAGGUACUGGACUGUAUUCACUGAAAAAAAAAAUUGCUUUUAGGCAGACCACACACUUCAAACCUAUGUUCGUUGAGGGUCAAGUGUACUAUGAAAAGGACACUUGCUUGUAGUGUGAGAGCUGAAACAAGAAAGCAGAGCAUCACCUGGUUUUACUUCAGCAGAGGGAACGUGUGGAUCAGGCAACUCAAAAUUUUUACUGGUGUGUGCUUGUGUAGGAAUGACCAUGUAAGUGUCCCAAGUAUUGAUUUUAAACUCAGAAACAAAUCUUAGCAAGUAGGCAAAUUUGCAAAUAUGGAAUCUUUAAAUAAUGAAGUUCGACUUUAUUUUGUUUUCAGAAUGUCACUUUCUGAGGCACCUGGGUGGCUCUAAUGGUUAAGCAUCCAACGCUUGACUCAGCUUAGGUCUUGAGCUCACAACCCUGAGUUGUGACCACCACAUUGGGCUCCACACUGGGUAUGGAGCCUACUUAAAAAAAAAAAAAAAAAAAGAAUGUCCCUUUUGUUCAGUUUCAAGCUUUAAUUUGGGAACAGAGGUAGACUGAUUACAUUAAUGGCCUCUAUGCUGGUCUCUCAGUAUUAGGCUUUCUGCCUUGUAACCCCUGGUCCCAUCCUACUUCAACACCAGGCUUAGCCUUGUGACUUUGCUUGACCAAUGGGAUGCUAACAAACCUGGUGCAAGCAGAAGUUUGCAAAACACAUGCACACCCCCACUUUCCCUCUUGGGAAAGACAUGUGGGGAUGGCCUGCAAGAGGGUGUGAGAUGCAGGUGGAAGAGAGUAGAGUUGUCUCAUAAAAGGCCAGUUAGACCAGCUGGCCUGCUAGCCGACCACAGCUGCAGGAGGAAAGCCCAGCUAAGGUCAGCCAAACUUGGCUUAGG